UACGGAGGAUCCAAGCGUUAUCCGGAUUCAUUGGGUUUAAAGGGUGCGUAGGCGGAAUGAUAAGUCAGUGGUGAAAGCCUGCAGCUUAACUGCAGAACUGCCAUUGAUACUGUCAAUCUUGAGUACAUUUGAUGUGGGCGGAAUGUGUCAUGUAGCGGUGAAAUGCUUAGAUAUGACACAGAACACCGAUUGCGAAGGCAGCUCACAAAACUGUAACUGACGCUGAGGCUCGAAAGUGCGGGGAGCAAACAGG
rnacentral:rRNA from 1 species